CACAUUACUCACGGGAAACGAACCCGGGCCGCCCGCGUGGAAGGCGAGCAUUCUACCACUGAACCGCCGAUGC
rnacentral:tRNA from 1 species